AAUUAUUCAGCGCUCAAGAGUUUAAAAUACAAACAGAAAAGUGUCUUUUCUGCUGUUUUAACACAGAUUGGCAUUGCACACACAGGUGCGGCAGUGGCCGAAAGCCGUUGCUGCUGCUGCUGCUCCAUUGACUAUAUAGUUUACACAGUACCGUCUUCCUAUUUUUCUUCUCUAUCUGAGAUUCUGACAGAAAGAGGAGGGCUAACAUGAAAAAUAUCAUAAAAAGAAUCCUGUUGGAAUCUUACAAUGUGUGAAGCUGCAUAAUUCCCAGUCUGUGCACCUCUAGGAGUAAAAACCAUUGACUUGGACAGAUUGUUGUCAAAUGUGAGUGAGUGUGUCAGACUUUAGUCGUCCUAAAGUCAUCUAGUGCAUGGGAGGCAUAAUCUACAAGUCUUUGGACUUAUACACACAUCCAGACAAUAGCAUAAAAUAAUAUGCAACACUUUUCCUAUUAUACUAAUUUAAGGCAAAAUGUUUCAACGCUUCAUUUCUGUUUUUGCCCACCAUCUUCAGUGAAGGGACUUCGUACAGAAUGGACACAAUCUUCAGUGAAAAGACUGGGACACAGAAGAUUGUUCUGAAAAGGAGGAUCUUAUAGCAGCCUCAGAUCCUAUCAGGGGAAAUGGCAGCAGCCAGGAUUAGGAAGAAUGGAGAGAAAGAAAAGAGCGAAGAGAGAGUCAGCUACUUCAUAUCUGGUAUCAUUUUCAUCAAACAUCUUUGGAGAUACCUUCCAAAUGGAGAGUUCCAUCUGCUUUAAGCCUGGGGUCAUUUUCUUCAAAGUACACAAGGAAUCAUUUUUAUUUCAAAUACAAGAUUCAGUCUUCCAGAGGUAAAACGGACAUCAGAACAUCACAAAACAGCAAUACAAAAGACAUCACAAUUAAAAGUCAGAAAAUAGAUAAAAGUCAUAAAAACGUCAUAAAAACAUUUUGGGGAAUACUUGCUAGAUGAGGAGAUCCACCUGCUUAAAAUCUGGAGCCAUUUUUAUGACACAUGUUGAAUGUUAUGUCCAUUUCAACAAGUUUCAAACAACAGAAAAUGAAAAUGAAUAAACUUGUCAUAAAAAAUGGACACAAAGACAACUCCGAAGCUACUGGAACAGUAGAGAAGCAAAGAAGAAUUGUGAUCGAAUUAAAUCUACAGGAAUCUCCCGAUCAAACAGUAAAAGUGCGAUAUUCAGUUGUCGUACCUUCCAUAUUUGAAAUGGGUUUCUUACGUUAUGACGUACAGUGCGUGCGCCGUAGUAUAUAAAGGAUUGCACGAGAGUACAACAUCCUUUCUCUUUUAAAUACAACAGACAACAGUGUUUUUUUAAACUGUGCAUCAGGAACCUGAAUCGGUGGCUGGAGUGUUUGAGAAGAUGAUUUUUUACCUUCUCUUGCUGAUUUCUUCUCAUUACAUAGGUAUGGUUUGAUUUUUGCAAUGCAGAGUGACUAGAAUUAUACUGAAACCUUAUAUUUGAUAUUUGUCCACUUCAGUCAAAUUAAAUAUUUAUUUCAAUACUGAGUCCAUUCUCUGAUUCAGAGUAAAAGAGGCUUGCAACAUGUUAUGCUCAAAAACACAGGAAAGAACAUAUUUAAUUCAAAUAAAAUUGUUGAGAAAACAUUUUUUGGAACAGUAAUG